GUAGUCCACGCUGUAAACGAUGAGUACUAAAGGUUGGUAGGGGAACCUAUCAGUCUUGAAGCUAACGCGAUAAGUACUCCGCCUGGGAAGUACGGCCGCAAGGUUGAAACUCAAAUGAAUUGACGGGGGCCCGCACAAGCGGUGGAGCAUGUGGUUUAAUUCGAUGCAACGCGAAGAACCUUACCUACCCUUGACAUCCUGCGAAUCCUGAUGAAAGUUGGGAGUGCCGAAAGGAGCGCAGAGACAGGUGCUGCAUGGCUGUCGUCAGCUCGUGUUGUGAGAUGUUGGGUUAAGUCCCGUAACGAGCGCAACCCUUGUCCUUAGUUGCCAGCAUUAAGUUGGGGACUCUAAGGAGACUGCCGGUGAGGAACCGGAGGAAGGCGGGGACGACGUCAAGUCAUCAUGGCCUUUAUGGGUAGGGCUACACACGUGCUACAAUGGGACGUACAGAGAGUCGCGAACCCGCGAGGGGGAGCCAAUCUCCUAAAGCGUCUCGUAGUCCGGAUUGGAGUCUGCAACUCGACUCCAUGAAGUUGGAAUCGCUAGUAAUCGCGAAUCAGCAGUGUCGCGGUGAAUA
rnacentral:rRNA from 1 species